AAAUUAACACAGGGGAGCUGGUGAUUCCAGCUGAGAGUAAGAAUAAAAUUCUUAGACCCUUAACCUGAUCUGGAUAAUGCCAGCGUAGGAUGAUGUUUAUGAAAAUAUA
rnacentral:ncRNA from 2 species